rnacentral:rRNA from 1 species
GAGUUUGAUCCUGGCUCAGAUUGAACGCUGGCGGCAUGCCUUACACAUGCAAGUCGAACGGCAGCAUGAUCUAGCUUGCUAGAUUGAUGGCGAGUGGCGAACGGGUGAGUAAUACAUCGGAACGUGCCCUGUAGUGGGGAGUAACUAGUCGAAGAUUAGCUAAUACCGCAUACGACCUGAGGGUGGAAAGUAGGGGGACCGGCAAGGCCCCAUGCUAUAGGAGCGGCCGAUGUCUGAUUAGCUAGUUGGUGGGGUAAAGGGCCCACCAAGGCGACGAUCAGUAGCUGGUCUGAGAGGACGAUCAGCCACACUGGGACUGAGACACGGCCCAGACUCCUACGGGAGGCAGCAGUGGGGAAUUUUGGACAAUGGGCGAAAGCCUGAUCCAGCAAUGCCGCGUGUGUGAAGAA